UACGGGGGGGGGCAAGCGUUGUUCGGAAUUACUGGGCGUAAAGCGCGUGUAGGCGGCUCUGCAAGUCGGGUGUGAAAUCCCAUGGCUCAACUAUGGAAGUGCACUCGAAACUGCAGGGCUAGAGUCCUGGAGAGGAAGGUGGAAUGCUUGGUGUAGAGGUGAAAUUCGUAGAUAUCAAGCGGAACACCGGUGGCGAAGGGCGGCCUUCUGGACAGGUGACUGACGCUGAGACGCGAAAGCGUGGGG
rnacentral:rRNA from 1 species